GCGGACGGGUGAGUAACGCGUGAGGAUCUGGCCUUAGGACGGGGACAACAUUGGGAAACCGAUGCUAAUACCGGAUGAGCCGAGAGGUAAAAUAUUUAUAGCCUAGGGAUGAACUCGCGUCUGAUUAGCUAGUUGGUGGGGUAAGAGCCUACCAAGGCGACGAUCAGUAGCUGGUCUGAGAGGAUGAUCAGCCACACUGGGACUGAGACACGGCCCAGACUCCUACGGGAGGCAGCAGUGGGGAAUUUUCCGCAAUGGGCGCAAGCCUGACGGAGCAACGCCGCGUGAGGGAGGAAUGUUUGUGGACUGUAAACCUCUUUUAAUAGGGAAGAAGCACUGACGGUACCUAUUGAAUCAGCAUCGGCUAACUCCGUGCCAGCAGCUGCGGUAAUACGGAGGAUGCAAGCGUUAUCCGGAAUUAUUGGGCGUAAAGGGUCCGCAGGUGGCCUAUCAAGUCAGCUGUUAAAGGCCGGGGCUUAACCCUGGACGAGCAGUUGAAACUGAUAGGCUAGAGUACGGUAGGGGUAGAGGGAAUUCCUAGUGUAGCGGUGAAAUGCGUAGAUAUUAGGAAGAACACCAGUGGCGAAGGCGCUCUACUGGGCCUGUACUGACACUGAGGGACGAAAGCUAGGGGAGCGAAAGGGAUUAGAUACCCCUGUAGUCCUAGCUGUAAACGAUGGAUACUAGGUGUUGCUCGUAUCGACCCGAGCAGUAUCGUAGCCAACGCGUUAAGUAUCCCGCCUGGGGAGUACGCACGCAAGUGUGAAACUCAAAGGAAUUGACGGGGGCCCGCACAAGCGGUGGAGUAUGUGGUUUAAUUCUGAGGUUUUACUCAGUGGCGGACGGGUGAGUACACGUAAGAAUUUACCUUUAGGAGGGGGAUAACAAAUGGAAACAGUUG
rnacentral:rRNA from 1 species